rnacentral:rRNA from 1 species
CAAUACUGGGCGGCGACCGGCAAACGGGUGCGGAACACGUACACAACCUUCCGAGAAGUGGGGAAUAGCCCAGAGAAAUUUGGAUUAAUACCCCGUAACAUAACGAUGUGGCAUCACAUUGNNNNUAUAGCUUCGGCGCUUCUUGAUGGGUGUGCGGCUGAUUAGAUAGUUGGCGGGGUAACGGCCCACCAAGUCUACGAUCAGUAGCUGAUGUGAGAGCAUGAUCAGCCACACGGGCACUGAGACACGGGCCCGACUCCUACGGGAGGCAGCAGUAAGGAAUAUUGGUCAAUGGACGCAAGUCUGAACCAGCCAUGCCGCGUGAAGGAUUAAGGUCCUCUGGAUUGUAAACUUCUUUUAUCUGGGACGAAAAAAGGCGAUACUUCGUCACUUGACGGUACCAGAUGAAUAAGCACCGGCUAACUCCGUGCCAGCAGCCGCGGUAAUACGGAGGAUGCAAGCGUUAUCCGGAUUCACUGGGUUUAAAGGGUGCGUAGGCGGGCAGGUAAGUCAGUGGUGAAAUCCUAGAGCUUAACUCUAGAACUGCCAUUGGUACUAUCUGUCUUGAAUAUUGUGGAGGUAAGCGGAAUAUGUCAUGUAGCGGUGAAAUGCUUAGAUAUGACAUAGAACACCUAUUGCGAAGGCAGCUUACUACGCAUAUAUUGACGCUGAGGCACGAAAGCGUGGGGAUCAAACAGGAUUAGAUACCCUGGUAGUCCACGCCCUAAACGAUGANNNCUCGACAUUUGUG